AUGAACGCUGGCGGCGUGCCUAACACAUGCAAGUCGAACGGUGUUUUGAGGAAGUUUUCGGACAGAGACAAAACAUAGUGGCGGACGGGUGAGUAACGCGUGGAUAACCUGCCUCUUACUGGGGGAUAGCAGCUGGAAACGGCUGGUAAUACCGCAUACGCUUUUUUCUUUGCAUGAAGAGGAAAGGAAAGAUUUAUCGGUGAGAGAUGGAUCCGCGUCUGAUUAGCUAGUUGGUGGGGUAAAGGCCCACCAAGGCGACGAUCAGUAGCCGGCCUGAGAGGGCGGACGGCCACAUUGGGACUGAGACACGGCCCAAACUCCUACGGGAGGCAGCAGUGGGGGAUAUUGCACAAUGGGCGAAAGCCUGAUGCAGCGACGCCGCGUGAGUGAAGAAGUAUUUCGGUAUGUAAAGCUCUAUCAGCAGGGAAGAAAGGCUCGAAAGAGAGAUGACGGUACCUGACUAAGAAGCCCCGGCUAACUACGUGCCAGCAGCCGCGGUAAUACGUAGGGGGCAAGCGUUAUCCGGAUUUACUGGGUGUAAAGGGAGCGCAGACGGCAGUGCAAGUCUGAUGUGAAAACCCGGGGCUCAACCCCGGGACUGCAUUGGAAACUGUGCAGCUAGAGUGUCGGAGAGGUAAGCGGAAUUCCUGGUGUAGCGGUGAAAUGCGUAGAUAUCAGGAGGAACACCGGCGGCGAAGGCGGCUUACUGGACGAUGACUGACGUUGAGGCUCGAAAGCGUGGGGAGCAAACAGGAUUAGAUACCCUGGUAGUCCACGCUGUAAACGAUGAAUACUAGGUGUGGGCAAGCAUAGCUUGUCCGUGCCGCAGCUAACGCAAUAAGUAUUCCACCUGGGGAGUACGUUCGCAAGAAUGAAACUCAAAGGAAUUGACGGGGACCCGCACAAGCGGUGGAGCAUGUGGUUUAAUUCGAAGCAACGCGAAGAACCUUACCAGGCCUUGACAUCCCGUGGAAUAAGUCGUAACGGACUUAGCUCUUUGGAGUCACGGAGACAGGUGGUGCAUGGUUGUCGUCAGCUCGUGUCGUGAGAUGUUGGGUCAAGUCCCGCAACGAGCGCAACCCUUGUGUAUAGUAGCCAGCACAUCAUGGUGGGCACUCUAUACAGACUGCCGGGGAUAACCCGGAGGAAGGUGGGGAUGACGUCAAAUCAUCAUGCCCCUUACGGUCUGGGCUACACACGUGCUACAAUGGCGUAACAAAGAGAAGCGAACCCGCGAGGGGGAGCAAACCUCAAAAAUAGCAUCCCAGUUCGGACUGUAGUCUGCAACUCGACUACACGAAGCCGGAAUCGCUAGUAAUCGCAGAUCAGAAUGCUGCGGUGAAUACGUUCCCGGGUCUUGUACACACCGC
rnacentral:rRNA from 1 species